rnacentral:rRNA from 1 species
CCUACGUGAGGCUGCAGUGAGGAAUAUUGCGCAAUGGGCGAAAGCCUGACGCAGCAACGCCGCGUGUAGGAUGAAAUCCUUCGGGAUGUAAACUACUGUUGAAGGGGAAGAAUAUCCUGAUUUAUCGGGAGAUGACGGUACCCUUAGAGAAAGCCACGGCUAACUCUGUGCCAGCAGCCGCGGUAAUACAGGGGUGGCAAGCGUUGUCCGGAAUUACUGGGGGUAAAGGGUGCGUAGGCGGGGGAAUAAGUCAGUGGUGAAAUCCUACAGCUUAACUGUAGAC